rnacentral:rRNA from 1 species
UUGAACGCUGGCGGCCGGCCUCACACAUGCCAGUCGAGCGGAUGAAGGGAGCUUGCUCCUGGAUUCAGCGGCGGACGGGUGAGUAAUGCCUAGGAAUCUGCCUGGUAGUGGGGGAUAACGUCCGGAAACGGGCGCUAAUACCGCAUACGUCCUGAGGGAGAAAGUGGGGGAUCUUCGGACCUCACGCUAUCAGAUGAGCCUAGGUCGGAUUAGCUAGUUGGUGGGGUAAAGGCCUACCAAGGCGACGAUCCGUAACUGGUCUGAGAGGAUGAUCAGUCACACUGGAACUGAGACACGGUCCAGACUCCUACGGGAGGCAGCAGUGGGGAAUAUUGGACAAUGGGCGAAAGCCUGAUCCAGCCAUGCCGCGUGUGUGAAGAAGGUCUUCGGAUUGUAAAGCACUUUAAGUUGGGAGGAAGGGCAGUAAGUUAAUACCUUGCUGUUUUGACGUUACCAACAGAAUAAGCACCGGCUAACUUCGUG